UGUAAUCAAAUGAAAUAAAAAUGCACCAAAAGUAUUUUUAAAUGAAUUUUAAAAAAGAAAUAAAAUGAAAAAUCUAUAAAGUCCUUCAAAACACCAAAUAAAUGACCAAGAAAAUUAUGGAAGGUUGGAAAUAAAAUAAGAAGCAUAUAAUAAAAUUUUCAGAAUUUAAAAAUGCAGAAAAGUAUUUUUAAGCCAAUUAAAAUAAAAGAGAAAAGAGAAAAUUCAUGAAAAAU
rnacentral:lncRNA from 1 species